GCUGGGCAUGGUGGUGCAUGCCUGUAUUUCUAGUACUCAGGAGGCUGAGGUGGGAGGAUCGCUUGAGCCCAGGAGUUUUGGACUGCAGUGCGCUAUGCUGAUUGGGUGUCUGCACUAAGUUUGGCAUCAGUAUGGUAACCUCCCGGAAGCGGGGGACCACCAGGUUGCCUAAGGAAGGGUGAACUGGCCCAGGUCGGAAACAGAGUGGGUCAAAACUCCCAUGCUGAUCAGUAGUGGGAUCAGGCCUGUGAAUAGCCACUGAACACCAGCCUGGGCAACAUAGCAAGACCCCAUCUNN
ensembl:misc_RNA Metazoa_SRP Metazoan signal recognition particle RNA